GGUGGGGCCUCGACUUCCUCGGUCGCUAUCCACUUGCAACAUUUCAACAGUGUCCACUCACAUUUUCUUCAAGGUACGGAGUCUGUUUCAGUGCUUUUGUCAUCUCCUCAAAGCGGCUGACUAGCCCAUGUCCUUUACUCACCCCCCCCCC